rnacentral:lncRNA from 1 species
UUGCCUUGGUGCCUCAGACACUAGCCCAAAGCCAAAGCAAAAGGUGUGCAGUCUCAGCCUCACCUGCUCCCUGCGUCCAGAGCCAAAACUGUUUUACUUAGACAUUCGUUCUGUGCCCCAUUAGCCCCACUAGAUCCCUGCUUUCCACUGAAUGGACAAAUUUACUUUCAAACCAAAAUCUCUAGUCCUAGCUAUUUUCUUGUUACACUCUCUCCUGUCUAGGUUAUUUUGUGAAUGGAAGAAAGGUGGCAUUUUCUUGCUGCAGGGGUGACCAGCCACCCCAUCUGUUCACAUGAACACCCCGAUACAUUCAUAGAAUGACAAGUCUGCUGAGGUCAGUGCCCCUGAAGCUGAUUCUCAGACUAGCUUUCUUGAUCCUCAAAAAAAAAAAAAAAAAAAAAAAAAAAAAAAAAAAAAACUCCUCUUCAUGAAUGUCUUCCAGGCUUUCCACGUUUAUUUUCUGGUUAAUUCUCUUCACAACAGUGCACUUACCUGCUAGGCACGAACUAACGAACUAACUGGGAAGGCGCUGGAAUUGGUAUUAAGUCCAGGUAUUAGAUUAAGCUGGCUACGCAUCAGGAAAGGGUUCUGAUCAGUCCAUAGUAGAGAAGGGCAUUAGAAAUGACUACUUUAAACUUUGGUCAAACUAUAAACAACAUUAGUAUGGAUCAAAGCAGCCAUUUUGGCAACCCAAGCUAUAUCAUACCGGAAAGCUAACACCUGAAGAGAUGUUCUAGCUCUCUACAGUUAGAAUGAAACAAAAACGGUCUGAAAUGGGGGAAGUAGAUAGUCCAUAGUGUUUCAUUUUCUACAGUGUCAUUGUGCCAUGGGUACCUGACCUUGAAAAAACUCCCCCCUCCCCCAUCUCAUUUCCUUCUGUGUACACUGAUAACCAUCUGAACCUCAUGGGAAGGUAUUGGUGGGACAGUAUCUACCUCAUAGGAUUGUGGACAAAUUGAAAAGGUUAAGGCAUAUAACAUGAGCCAUAAUGGCAGGCACAGAGGCAGCACAGUGGUUGUAUUUGCUGUUAUCAUCACGUCUGCUGUCCUCGUGGCAAUAGACUCCUACAUUGACUCCUGUACUGAUGUUCUUGCCACAAUUAAUGCUGAAGGCUGAAGCUUUCCACUGUGACGGCUUGGGGGUUGGUUACUACAUAUAUGUAGUGGAGGAACGACAGGGGCAUUGGAAUACAUCCUAUGAAUGACGUUAGCCUCAUAACAGGUGUCAAUACCUCUGAGACUGAGCUGUCCUCAUACAAUGUAGAGGUUGUCAAGCUUUUUCUGUUACGAGCUCCAUGAUAAAUAGGUUUAGCUUUGUAGCUUCUGUAAUUCCUGCUGCAACCACAUGACUUUGACACUGUAGCAGGGAAGUAGCCCACAGAUAAUACCCAAACUGUGUUAACAGUAAAACCUUAUUUACAAAGAGAGAUGGGAGGUCUGAUUUGGCCUUAGGCCAGUAGUUAGCCUAUCUAAAACCACUCCUGUGACACCAUCACCAUUAAUCUCACAGGAAGCUCUUCACAGCUUCCCAUUUCCUACCGGGCACCACCCAGGCUGACUGGAGUCUAACCUCUCUUUCCUUUUUCUCUCCUUGCCUUCAUACCUCUCUUUUUGAGAACCCACAGCAUGAGUGGACCAUCUUCCCUGAAGGAACUGUGCACAUUCACUGCCCUACUCCUCAAAAGGGAUCCCCAUUGCUUACUCUUUCCUUCCUCCCUCUCUUUCUCCUCUUCCCUACCACCAAUACCUCCACUCCCCAAAAGGAUCCCCUGGCUUCAUCCUCCCUUCCUCUCUUUCAGAGGUGGGCACAAUGACAGGGUAAUUAGAAAGGCAUUAAUAGUGUCUGAGGACACUGGAGCAUUAUUGGGGUCCAACAGCUUUGCAAAGAAAAGAAGCGAGUAGUUUCAAGAGGCAUUUCCAAUAUGAAUGAAUUGGAUCUGGUGAUUCAAAGUAGGCAUGUGAAUGAGAAAGUGGAUAGGGUAAUUGCGGAGGAAUAUGGAGACUUGUCCCCAACUUUUUCAUCUGGAAGAAUGCAGGGUAGAUGAUGCUAUUUAUAAGGUAAGAUGGUGGAUAAAUGAUGCUAUUUAUAUGGGCCAAGAUGAUGGGAGUUAGAGCAGAUAUCCAUGUGGGAGUAGGCUUCGUGUUCCAUUCUGGACAGGUUAAUUUUAGAUACUUAUAGCAACUCCAUGAACAGAGAUCCAGGAGCAGUUAGAGAUGGGGCAUAAAAAUAAGAAUAGGGGUGAGGAUUGGAGGCAACAUUUUGGAAACAAGCAUAUGGACUAGAGUCAAGAACUGUGAUGUGGGGAGAGCUACUGGGGAAAAUAAUGUAAUCUGUCAAUGGAAAGAAGCCAAGGACCCUUUGAAACCUCUGAAGAGAAAGGACAUGCAGACAAUGUCUGAAAACAGGUGCUUUUCAGAUCCUCAAAUGUGUAGCCUAGUGUCACUAUGGGAAUAGAAGGAGGUCAAGGCAUAUAUUCAAAUGAAUAGAAAUGAGGGGAAAACACAAUGUAGCGCUAGAUAUAGUAACAAAGAACCUUCCAAGUGAAUUUCUCACUCCCUCAGAGAAACUUGGUUCUGGGUCUAAACCCACACUCUAACUAACCUAAAUGUGCUUUUAAGUAUCCAAGUGAUGUUAAUCCUACUUUUGGAUCCUAAACUCAGAGAUGGUAUUUAUUCCUUGACAGAACCUAAGAGCUAUUUGUUGCUCCCCGUUCUUAAGAAAUGUUCUUUGAUGUAAGGAUCUUACAUAUUUUAUUUUAAUCUUAUUUAUUUAACAUUUAGAUGCCUGGUAUCUAUACCAGGUCAUCACUGCAAGAACAAGGGAAGGUAGGAUAGCUUUCUGAUGAAAGAAAUCAAAUUUCAGGAAUAAGAUAUAUAGGCCAGAUGGAAAUAAGAAUUUAUACAAACAUACACAUUCUACUGUCUGUUUGAAUGAGGCUAAAAUGGUCAAAUCCAUAUGUAAGGAACACUGGCUGUGGCAGUCACUCUUUUGUUAAUGCUGCAGGAUUAGCAUCAAGUCUAAAUAUGUGAGAUGUCCGCAAUUACCCAGUUGACACUGCACCAAGGAAGAGGUCUUAAGUAUUUAAUAGGCUGAAACUCAGGUC